GACGAACGCUGGCGGCGUGCCUAACACAUGCAAGUCGAACGGAGUAAAGACUUCGGUUUUUACUUAGUGGCGAACGGGUGAGUAACGCGUGAGAAACCUGCCUUUCAGUGGGGGACAACAGUUGGAAACGACUGCUAAUACCGCAUAAUGUUAUUUGAGGGCAUCCUCGGAUAACCAAAGCUUUAUGUGCUGAAAGAUGGUCUCGCGUCUGAUUAGCUAGAUGGCGGGGUAACGGCCCACCAUGGCGACGAUCAGUAGCCGGUCUGAGAGGAUGAACGGCCACAUUGGGACUGAGAUACGGCCCAGACUCCUACGGGAGGCAGCAGUGGGGAAUAUUGGGCAAUGGGGGAAACCCUGACCCAGCAACGCCGCGUGAAGGAAGAAGGCCUCGGGUUGUAAACUUACUUUACCUAGGACGAAGAACGUAGACGGUACCUCGGAGAAAAAGACAACGGC
rnacentral:rRNA from 1 species